UCUCAAGUCGAGCGGGAUGAAGGGAGCUUGCUCCUGGAUUCAGCGGCGGACGGGUGAGUAAUGCCUAGGAAUCUGCCUGGUAGUGGGGGAUAACGUCCGGAAACGGGCGCUAAUACCGCAUACGUCCUGAGGGAGAAAGUGGGGGAUCUUCGGACCUCACGCUAUCAGAUGAGCCUAGGUCGGAUUAGCUAGUUGGUGGGGUAAAGGCCUACCAAGGCGACGAUCCGUAACUGGUCUGAGAGGAUGAUCAGUCACACUGGAACUGAGACACGGUCCAGACUCCUACGGGAGGCAGCAGUGGGGAAUAUUGGACAAUGGGCGAAAGCCUGAUCCAGCCAUGCCGCGUGUGUGAAGAAGGUCUUCGGAUUGUAAAGCACUUUAAGUUGGGAGGAAGGGCAGUAAGUUAAUACCUUGCUGUUUUGACGUUACCAACAGAAUAAGCACCGGCUAACUUCGUGCCAGCAGCCGCGGUAAUACGAAGGGUGCAAGCGUUAAUCGGAAUUACUGGGCGUAAAGCGCGCGUAGGUGGUUCAGCAAGUUGGAUGUGAAAUCCCCGGGCUCAACCUGGGAACUGCAUCCAAAACUACUGAGCUAGAGUACGGUAGAGGGUGGUGGAAUUUCCUGUGUAGCGGUGAAAUGCGUAGAUAUAGGAAGGAACACCAGUGGCGAAGGCGACCACCUGGACUGAUACUGACACUGAGGUGCGAAAGCGUGGGGAGCAAACAGGAUUAGAUACCCUGGUAGUCCACGCCGUAAACGAUGUCGACUAGCCGUUGGGAUCCUUGAGAUCUUAGUGGCGCAGCUAACGCGAUAAGUCGACCGCCUGGGGAGUACGGCCGCAAGGUUAAAACUCAAAUGAAUUGACGGGGGCCCGCACAAACGGUGGAGCAUGUGGUUUAAUUCAAACCACGCGAAGAACCUUACCUGGCCUUGACAUGCUGAAAACUUUCCAAAGAUGGAUUGGUGCCUUCGGGAACUCAGACACAGGUGCUGCAUGGCUGUCGUCACCUCCUUUCCUGAAAUGUUGGGUUAAGUCCCGU
rnacentral:rRNA from 1 species